rnacentral:rRNA from 1 species
GAUGAACGCUGGUGGUAUGCUUAAUACAUGCAAGUCGUACGAGGUACCUUUGGUACUUAGUGGCAAACGGGUGAGUAACACGUAUUCAACCUGCCUAUUAGUGGGGGAUAACAUCUGGAAACAGUUAUUAAUCCCGCAUAAUUAUUCAAUUAGGAUAACUUAAUAAAUUAAAAAGAAACUUUAGUUCGCUAGUAGAGGGGAUGCGUCGUAUUAGUUAGUUGGUGAGGUAACGGCUCACCAAGACGAUGAUACGUAGUCGGCCUGAGAGGGUGUUCGGCCACAUUGGGACUGAGACACGGCCCAGACUCCUACGGGAGGCAGCAGUAAGGAAUAUUCCAC